AAAAACUCCCUUCCACAUCAUCUGACUUGAUCGUCGGAGGGGUCGGGCCGAGCUUCCGACCCGACCUGUGUGCAGGAACGAAGGCGAGGUCGCACCUUCCAAGCGCCGCGGCGAGGCUUCACCCUCAGGCUACAUCCCAUCCGGACCACCGUGACCGGCCACCCCAGCUGCCCCGAGGAGCGCCGCGCUGGAUCCCCGCG
rnacentral:lncRNA from 1 species